rnacentral:rRNA from 1 species
GCUUAUGGUCAUAACACCCUGAACACCGAUCUCACCUGACCUCAGAAGCUAAGCAGGGUCAGAUGCCAGAUGCC